AAAGCAGGUCAUAGUGAUCCGGUGGUUCUGAAUGGAAGGGCCAUCGCUCAACGGAUAAAAGGUACUCCGGGGAUAACAGGCUGAUACCGCCCAAGAGUUCAUAUCGACGGCGGUGUUUGGCACCUCGAUGUCGGCUCAUCACAUCCUGGGGCUGAAGUAGGUCCCAAGGGUAUGGCUGUUCGCCAUUUAAAGUGGUACGCGAGCUGGGUUUAGAACGUCGUGAGACAGUUCGGUCCCUAUCUGCCGUGGGCGCUGGAGAACUGAGGGGGGCUGCUCCUAGUACGAGAGGACCGGAGUGGACGCAUCACUGGUGUUCGGGUUGUCAUGCCAAUGGCACUGCCCGGUAGCUAAAUGCGGAAGAGAUAAGUGCUGAAAGCAUCUAAGCACGAAACUUGCCCCGAGAUGAGUUCUCCCUGAGACUUUAGGUCUCCUGAAGGAACGUUGAAGACGACGACGUUGAUAGGCCGGGUGUGUAAGCGCAGCGAUGCGUUGAGCUAACCGGUACUAAUGAACCGUGAGGCUUAACCUUACAACGCCGAAG
rnacentral:rRNA from 2 species